rnacentral:rRNA from 1 species
UACGUAGGGUGCAGGCGUUAAUCGGAAUUACUGGGCGUAAAGCGUGCGCAGGCGGUUUCUUAAGUCAGAUGUGAAAGCCCCGGGCUUAACCUGGGAACUGCGUUUGAAACUGGGGGGCUAGAGUGUGGAAGAGGGGGGUGGAAUUCCAGGUGUAGCAGUGAAAUGCGUAGAGAUCUGGAGGAACACCGGUGGCGAAGGCGGGUCUCUGGGCAACAACUGACGCUGAGGAGCGAAAGCGUGGGGAGCGAACAGG